AUAUUAUUUAUUGACAGGAAAGUGAAUGUUGAAUUGGAAUGUGGAAGCAAAUUUCUCGUAUGUGUUUUGUCAACAUGUUCGAAAAACUUAUGUGCAUAUGGUGACUACAGAAAGGGGAGGACGUGUUUCUCUGCACAUGGUUAACGGUGACGAAGCUCAUGCUUUAGCUGAAGUGGUGGCUCCAAAGCUUUGAGAUGUAGGUCGUGAUCAUAUGAAAAUAAAUCGUGAAAAAUGUAUUAUUGUGAUGUAAGAUUCUUAAAUUCAUUUUUUUUUUCUUUUUUGUCAUCAGAUUUUAUUUACACCUCAAAAGAGUCAAUUCUGAGGAAAAUUGUUUACAUAAGUGAUAUAAAGCGGUUCAAUACGAAUUUUUCGUGUCAAUUUGUGCCUUUACAUUUGCAGUUCGAGAAAUUAAAGAUAAAGAAAAUCUUAUGAAUUCUUCCUUAUCGGUCUUGAAUUCCUCCAAAUAAGUUGAAAACGCUGGCCAUUCGGUUGGGGAAAACACCAUCUUCACCAGGUCUGAACAGUCUGUAAAAAAUGCUACUUCUUGGUUGUCGGCACCAAUCAUACACUUCAUCGCCCAGAAGUAAAGCUGUUACUUCUGUUAAAUUCGGUUUAAUUAUGUGUUAAUCGGAUUUAAUCGGUUUUAAUGAUCUAUAUAAUUAUAUAUAGGUUGCGGUAAUUAUUUCUCUUUAAAUUCUUUUACUAGUUUUUGGCCUGAAUUCAGAUUGCUUAAGAUAUACUUAUCUAACAUUGUUAAUAUGAAAACUAAUGAAUGUACUCAUUCCUUGUUAGGUAACACUUUCAUAUAUUUGUAUCUUUUGUUUUCGUGGUGUGGUAGGAGAAUAAGCAACAACAUUUUUGCUAGACAUAUUCAAGAUUUCAUAGAAUAUUGAACAAAAAUGGUUAAAAGAUGUAAGUCUACUUCAUUCAUUCUCACUUAUUUUAUUUUUUCCCCAGAAAAUAAAA
rnacentral:sRNA from 1 species